GUUAUUGUCGCAUAUUUGCUACAGUUGAAUCAGCUAGGGGGGCAAAUGGGAUUACAUACUCCAGUAGUCCUAGCCUU
rnacentral:rRNA from 1 species